rnacentral:rRNA from 1 species
UACGUAGGGACCAAGCGUUGUUCGGAUUUACUGGGCGUAAAGGGCGCGUAGGCGGUCAGCACAAGUCAGUUGUGAAAUCUCCGGGCUUAACCCGGAAAGGUCAACUGAUACUGUGCGACUAGAGUGCGGAAGGGGCAACUGGAAUUCUCGGUGUAGCGGUGAAAUGCGUAGAUAUCGAGAGGAACACCUGCGGCGAAGGCGGGUUGCUGGGCCGACACUGACGCUGAUGCGCGAAAGCCAGGGGAGCGAACGGG